GCUGGGUGUGGUGGCCCAUGCCUGUAAUCCCAACAGCUCCGGAGGCUGAGCCAGGAGGAUCCCAAGUUCAAAGCCAGCCUCAGCAAAGGCGAGGCGCUUAGCAACACAGUGAGACCCUGUCUAUA
rnacentral:sRNA from 1 species